UUUUUAUGAGAGUUUGAUCCUGGCUCAGGACGAACGCUGGCGGCGUGCCUAAUACAUGCAA
rnacentral:rRNA from 2 species